rfam:Schistosoma rodhaini strain Burundi genome assembly, scaffold: SROB_scaffold0004804
ACACUGCUGAAGAAUCCCAUAAUAGGACGAAACAGUCGUCCAGUAA